AACGCUGGCGGCGUGCCUAACACAUGCAAGUCGAACGGAGUGAAACGCUGAAUUGAAGGUAGCUUGCUACUGAAUUUUCUUGUUUCACUUAGUGGCGGACGGGUGAGUAACGCGUGAGUAACCUGCCUUACAGAGGGGGACAACAGUUGGAAACGACUGCUAAUACCGCAUAAUGUAUCGAGAAGGCAUCUUCUUGAUACCAAAGGAGCAAUCCGCUGUAAGAUGGACUCGCGUCUGAUUAGAUAGUUGGUGGGGUAACGGCCUACCAAGUCGACGAUCAGUAGCCGGACUGAGAGGUUGAACGGCCACAUUGGGACUGAGACACGGCCCAGACUCCUACGGGAGGCAGCAGUGGGGGAUAUUGCACAAUGGAGGAAACUCUGAUGCAGCAACGCCGCGUGAGGGAAGAAGGUUUUCGGAUUGUAAACCUCUGUUUUUAGUGAAGAAUAAAUGACGGUAGCUAAAGAGGAAGCCACGGCUAACUACGUG
rnacentral:rRNA from 1 species